rnacentral:rRNA from 1 species
CCUACGGGAGGCAGCAGUGGGGAAUAUUGGACAAUGGGCGAAAGCCUGAUCCAGCAAUGCCGCGUGAGUGAUGAAGGCCUUAGGGUCGUAAAGCUCUUUUACCAGGGAUGAUAAUGACAGUACCUGGAGAAUAAGCUCCGGCUAACUCCGUGCCAGCAGCCGCGGUAAUACGGAGGGAGCUAGCGUUGUUCGGAAUUACUGGGCGUAAAGCGUGCGUAGGCGGUUAUUCAAGUCAGAGGUGAAAGCCCGGGGCUCAACCCCGGAACGGCCUUUGAAACUAGAUAACUAGAAUCUUGGAGAGGUCAGUGGAAUUCCGAGUGUAGAGGUGAAAUUCGUAGAUAUUCGGAAGAACACCAGUGGCGAAGGCGACUGACUGGACAAGUAUUGACGCUGAGGUACGAAAGCGUGGGGAGCAAACAGGAUUAGAUACCCUGGUAGUCCACGCCGUAAACGAUGAUAACUAGCUGUCCGGACACUUGGUGUUUGGGUGGCGCAGCUAACGCAUUAAGUUAUCCGCCUGGGGAGUACGGUCGCAAGAUUAAAACUCAAAUGAUGAGNGUGAGAGNGCGAGACGACACGAGGAGAG